rnacentral:lncRNA from 1 species
UAUAGUUCUUAUUUUCCUGUUUUUAACUUUAAGUGUCCCUCAUGUUGGCUGAUGUUAGCAUGUCUUUUUCGUAUAUAGAUGUUCGCUGUCUUGGGGGGUGUCUCCGGGAUCCUCUCGGGCUGUCCAGUUGUCUGUCGUUGACUACUCGGGCUUCUCUCUGCGCUUUGAAAAUCUGAAUAUUUUCCACUAUGUAUAGUUCUUCUGGAUUCUGCACUGUUUUAAAUAUCUCUCCUUCUUCCCAUUUGACAUUGGUGUCCCCCUCAUAUGCUUUUCUUGCUGGCGCUGUAUUUAGAUUGGCCUGCUGUAUGUCUCUUUUAUGUUCGGUUGUUCUGUCCUUUGGGUUCCUCUUCGUGGCCCCGAUGUGGAUUUCUGUGUCUCUGGUCUUGUUGUUCUCCAGGGGGAUUCUGUGAGUGCCCGUCCCUUCUUCCCUUGUGUGCUUGUCCUUCACGUUUCUUGGUUUGUUGAAUGCCGUUGGGGGCCUCCUGUAAGCUGCUUUUUUCUUGUUUUUCUUUAUUAUUUCCUUUACUG